rnacentral:lncRNA from 10 species
GUGGGGUGGGGCCGCCACCUGCUUCCGUGAGCGCGGGGAGAAGCUGGGCACAGCUCGCUUUACUCCCAGUGGAGGGCGGGAAGGUACCAUAUGGUGCUGAUGUGUCGGAUGCCUCCAUGUGUUGAUUUCAAUCAUUCAACUGGACACAUGGUGAGAGGCUGAACAGACAUGCUUCCUUCCCUCAUGGAGUUUAUAUUGCAAUUGAAUCUGGUUCCGAGACCUUCUGAUUCUGAUUCAGCCUUCUAAGUUCAAACCAAAGCAGAGCAUUUUCAACUUCUUUAAUGAGAAGCAUGUUCAGCCAGCAAAGAAGAAGAAGAAAAAUGGUUAUAGACAAGCAACCAACAGUAUCUGCCAUAGCUAUUUUAUAGCUGUUUAAACUUGGCUGGGGGUGAAAGAUGCCCUUCAGUGUCCCAAAUGAGAGAAGAGAAUUUUAAUUGGGAGUGGCCAAGGUUCACAAUUUCAGCCUGGAGGAAAGUAAAUUAAAGAGGGAAAUUUGGAUACACAAAGAGAUGCCAGGGAUUAACCUACCCAGAGGAAAGGCCACGUGAGGACACAGCAAGAAGGUGGCCGUCUGCAAGCCGAGAGAGGCCUCAGAAGAAGCCAAACCUGCUGAUACCUUGGACUUCCCAGCCUCCAGAUUUGUGAGAAAUAAACUACUGUUGUUUUAAGUCACCCAGUCUAUGAUAUUUUGUUAUAACAGCCCUAGCAAACUAAUACAAGGAUAUUCAUCAUUCUAUGUUUUUGUGCAUUGAAAUGCAUAAAUAUUUCAGCCUCAAUAUUUUCACAGAUGCUGUCUUUUUUGUUUUCAUUCAGAGUAGCUUUCUUCAACAAAUAUUUCAUAAGAACAACUUCAUAAUAUAAAUUGUCUCUAUUUAUGAUUCCACAUAAUUAUGGGCUUCCACAAUUUCGUUUUAUUCCAGUACAGAACAUAAAUUUAUCUAAUUAAAAAUAGGUGCUUCAGCAAAUGACUUAUCCUGCAAGUUGAAAUAUUCUAAAAUGCAAUUACAGAAUUUCAACAUUAAUAUUGUAUACUAUUUGAGGGCUUAUUGUUUAAUUUGUUCAGUACUCACUGUGCUUAUGAAAGGAUAAAUUUCAAGUUUCUCUGUUUGCAAAUGAUUUUUCCAAUAACCGCAUUUUGGUAUUUCAUUUGACAAAUACUUUGAUUAAAACUUUU